rnacentral:rRNA from 1 species
CCCAAGAGAUCGGGAUAACACCUGGAAACAGAUGCUAAUACCGGAUAACAACAGAUGAUGCCUAUCAACUGUUUAAAAGAUGGUUCUGCUAUCACUCUUGGAUGGACCUGCGGUGCAUUAGCUAGUUGGUAGGGUAACGGCCUACCAAGGCGAUGAUGCAUAGCCGAGUUGAGAGACUGAUCGGCCACAUUGGGACUGAGACACGGCCCAAACUCCUACCGGGAGGCAGCAGGC